GUUUGAGUGAUUUGCCAUUGUUCCUAUGCUUUCCCUUGAGAGAUGUGUGGUCAUUGGUAGAAUUAGAGAGUUGAGUUUAUAUAUGAGAUACAAUAUAGUUUAGCAGAGACUAGCUGAGCUCUUAUUAAAAUCAUACUUUUAACUUAAAAGGAAAAAAAAUAUUAUUUGCAGUUGCAGUGCACUAUAUGUAAUGUAAGAGAAAUAGAAAGCUAAAAAUAAUAAGGUUAUAGAAUGGAAAUAAAAUUCAAAGAAAGAUUAAUUAACUCCACUUUAUUAGGGUUUAAAGUAAGUGUUUGAGGAAAAGGCACUGAGAACUCUUCAAUAGAUAGGAUUUAUAUAGGACGAGAAAAUUUACAUAUGUGGAAAGUAAUAUUC
rnacentral:misc_RNA from 1 species